rnacentral:rRNA from 1 species
GACGAACGCUGGCGGCGUGCCUAAUACAUGCAAGUCGAGCGGAUGGAAGGAAGCUUGCUUCCUAAAGUCAGCGGCGGACGGGUGAGUAACACGUGGGCAACCUGCCCCUAAGAUCGGGAUAACUUCGGGAAACCGGAGCUAAUACCGGAUAUGAUUAUGUCUCACAUGAGACAUAAUGGAAAGACGGUUUCGGCUGUCACUUAGGGAUGGGCCCGCGGCGCAUUAGCUAGUUGGUGAGGUAACGGCUCACCAAGGCGACGAUGCGUAGCCGACCUGGGAGGGUGAUCGGCCACACUGGGACUGAGACACGGCCCAGACUCCUACGGGAGGCAGCAGUAGGGAAUCUUCCGCAAUGGACGAAAGUCUGACGGAGCAACGCCGCGUGAGUGAAGAAGGUUUUCGGAUCGUAAAACUCUGUUGUUAGGGAAGAACAAGUACCAUAGUAACUGAUGGUACCUUGACGGUACCUAACCAGAAAGCCACGGCUAACUACGUGCCAGCCGCCGCGGUAAAAC